AUGUGGUCAAGGGCAAAAUAUUAGCAAAUUGAGGAAGCUAAUAUUAAGCCUAUUCAUAUCACAAAUUACAGAAAUCACCUUGUUAUCUCAAAAAUUUCAAGAAUCGUAAUUAGUAUACAAAAAAAAUGCAACAUGGUACACUAAUAACAGCAAAAUUUAACUUAAAACAUUUUAAAAAAUGAAAAAAGAUAUAGGGGCAGAAUGUGUUGAACAAUCAAGGCACAACAUGAUGAAAUUACUCCAAUUAUAGUGCCUCCAUUUGACGUAUGAGACGCUCAAUAUUUUCUUCGAAUGAUUCCAGUUCUUGCUUGAGGGCACCAAGUUUUAAUGUAUUUUCUUCGUGAACGUUAGCACGAACUUUCUCUUUGUAGCCAGAGGUACUCAUGGUUUUGGUUAAGGUUUCAUAUUGCUUUCUCGUCUCCUCUCUCUUCUUUUUGAGCCUUUCAACUUCAGCCUCAGGGUUAAUGAUAGUCCCCUUAUCCUCGAGAAAAACUGUGAUUGAUUCAUCCACCACUUCUGUCAGCCAUUGAGUUGGAGCUGCAUCAGUGUCACUUGAGACCUUCAAAGAUGACAGUGUAGCUAAAGUAGAAAUCUCAAGUUCGCGGCUUUUUAUGAUCUCAACAGUAUCAUUUGUCCGGCAAAGCACAAACGCUUCUCGCCUUGCAAAUCUCUCCUUUGGAGGCAACAAUGCCCUCUUCGACCUCAGUCCUCUAACAAUGGAUGACACCUUUUCCAUCUCAGUUUCCACAUUAUCAUUAUUCCAGCUCUCUACAUAUGAAGGAUAAUCACUUAUCACUAUAGAUUCUUUCUUUAUAGAAUCCCCGCUAGCAGGAAGGCGCUGCCACAAUUCUUCGGUGACAAAAGGCAUAAAUGGAUGGAGUAAUCUCAACCCGUUAUCUAAGCAAAGCCACAAGGUGUCCUGAGCAGAUCUUCUUGCAGAUACAAAUUCUGGAUUAUCACCAGUGAAGUAUGGCUUGAUUACUUCUAUAAACACAUCACACAACUGAAACUGCCACCAAGAAUAUACUGCUGUUGCUGCAUCGGAGAAAUCAUAAGAUUCCAGGGAUGAGACAGUUCUUGCUAUGGCCUUGUUAAGUGCUGAGAGUAUCCACUGGCAGCUAAAAGGCAUUUCAUGAGGAACUAUCUUUGUUGGAGGGGUGUAAUCUUCACCCAAUUUACUCAUGGCAAACCUAAUGGCAUUCCACAGUUUGUUACACCAUUGACGAUAACCAACCACUCUCUGAAUAUCAAGAUUGAUCUUAUCGGACUGGGCAGUGUAUGAGACAAGGGCAAAUCGAAGAGCAUCUGCACCACAUUCAGGAAUACCAUCAGGAAAGUCCUUUGCCUGUCCCUCUUUUGCCCUCUCAAAUUCUUUUGCGUCUAGGUUACCCUCCUUUAAUCUCUUAUGAAGACCAUCAAGUGUGAUUCCAUUAAUAACUUCAAGGGGAUCAAUAACAUUUCCCAACGACUUCGACAUCUUACGCCCAUGAGCAUCGCGGAUCAUUGGAUGCAAAUAAACCUUUGAAAAUGGAAGAUCACCUCCCAGCUUUAUUCCCAACAUUACCAUUCGUGCGACCCAGAAGAAGAGAAUAUCAUGUCCGGUUUCAAGAACUGAAGUUGGAUAAAAUGUUUUGAAAUCUGCAGUAUUAUCUGGCCACCCCAAUACAGAUAAUGGGAAAAGACCAGACGAAAACCAGGUAUCCAGCACAUCUGGAUCUUGAGAGAGCUCAACAAUCUUCUUCCCCGAAAAUUUCCUAGAAGCCAAAUCUCGAGCUUCUUCUUCAUUUCUAGCAACAAUCCAGUGAUCGUCAGACACACCAAAUUCCUUCUGCUUAUCAUCACUCAGUGUGACAUACCAAGCAGGAAUACGAUGACCCCACCAAAGUUGCCUUGAGAUGCACCAAUCACGAAUAUUCUCAAGCCAUCUUCUCCAUUCAGCACCAUAUUGCUUUGGGAUGAUCUCCAGUUUCUGAUUAUCCUCAUCCACAACAGCAUCCAAAGCCUGCUUGGCCAUAAUUUUGCAGUUGACAAACCAUUGAGGCUUUAUAAGAGGCUCCACUACAUCAUUGCUUCUUGAACAAAUCCCAAGGCGCAUCUCAUUAUUCUUAGCACCCCUGUAGAGACCCUUUUCUUUUAAAGCUUCUGUUACAGCGACACGAGCUUUGAAACGAGGCAUUCCUUCAAAGUCUGGACCAGCAUUGCUAUUUAUAUUCCCAUCAUCAGUAAAAAUACUUAUGAAUUCUAGUUUGUGACGCUGUCCAACCUCAAAAUCAUUUGGGUCAUGGGCUGGAGUUAUCUUAACAGCACCAGUCCCAAAGUUCAUAUCUACAAGUAUAUCAUCACAAACUAUUGGAAGCUGUCUUCCAUUGAAUGGAUGAAUAGCAAAUUUCCCAUGAAGGUGACUGUAUCUUUUGUCUUCAGGAUGUAUAGCAAUUGCAGUAUCACCAAGCAUAGUUUCAAUUCUGGUGGUCGCCACAACAAUUUCACCAAGAUCGCCUUCUAAGGGGUAAGCAAAUGAGGUCAGCAACCCGAACUCCACGGGUUCUUCAUAUCCAGGAACAUUCAGAAGUGUCCUCUCUUUGAUGUCUGUAUAUUCAACCUCAAUAUCAGAGAUUGCAGUACGCAAGACACAAUCCCAAUGCACCAUACGUGGAGCCCUGUAUAUAAGACCUUCAUUGGAAAGCCUAACAAAUGCUUCAGUUACAGCCUUAGACCUUUUCUCAUCCAUGGUAAAGCACUCACGAGACCAAUCAAGUGACGCACCCAGGCGACGUAAUUGCUGUAGUAUGGUACCCCCGUACUCAUUCUUCCAAUUCCAGACCUCAGCAACAAACUUCUCCCGACCAAUAUCAUGUCUAGUCAAAUUCCUUUCUCGCAUGAUCUUCUUCUCCACAACAACCUGAGUUGCUAUCCCAGCAUGAUCCAUCCCGGGGACCCACAAG
rnacentral:misc_RNA from 1 species